GACGAACGCUGGCGGCGUGCCUAAUACAUGCCAGUUGAGCGCUGAAGGUUGGUACUUGUACCAACUGGAUGAGCAGCGAACGGGUGAGUAACGCGUGGGGAAUCUGCCUUUGAGCGGGGGACAACAUUUGGAAACGAAUGCUAAUACCGCAUAAAAACUUUAAACACAAGUUUUAAGUUUGAAAGAUGCAAUUGCAUCACUCAAAGAUGAUCCCGCGUUGUAUUAGCUAGUUGGUGAGGUAAAGGCUCACCAAGGCGAUGAUACAUAGCCGACCUGAGAGGGGGAUCGGCCACAUGGGGACUGAGACAAGGCCAAAAGUCCUAAGGGAGGCAGCAGUAGGGAAUCUUCGGCAAUGGAGGAAAGUCUGACCGAGAAACGCCGCGUGAGUGAAGAAGGUUUUGGGAUCGGAAAACUCUGUUGGUAGAGAAGAACGUUGGUGAGAGUGGAAAGCUCAUCAAGUGACGGUAACUACCCAGAAAGGGACGGCUAACUACGUG
rnacentral:rRNA from 1 species